GCAGUAGCCGCGGUAAUACAGAGGGUGCGAGCGUUAAUCGGAUUUACUGGGCGUAAAGCGUGCGUAGGCGGCUUUUUAAGUCGGAUGUGAAAUCCCUGAGCUUAACUUAGGAAUUGCAUUCGAUACUGGGAAGCUAGAGUAUGGGAGAGGAUGGUAGAAUUCCAGGUGUAGCGGUGAAAUGCGUAGAGAUCUGGAGGAAUACCGAUGGCGAAGGCAGCCAUCUGGCCUAAUACUGACGCUGAGGUACGAAAGCAUGGGGAGCAAACAGGAUUAGAGACCCGCGUAGUCCCUGUCUCUUAUAA
rnacentral:rRNA from 1 species